UGGGGAAUUUUGGACAAUGGGCGCAAGCCUGAUCCAGCAAUGCCGCGUGCAGGAUGAAGGCCUUCGGGUUGUAAACUGCUUUUGUACGGAACGAAAAGGCUCUGGCUAAUACCUGGGGCACAUGACGGUACCGUAAGAAUAAGCACCGGCUAACUACGUGCCAGCAGCCGCGGUAAUACGUAGGGUGCGAGCGUUAAUCGGAAUUACUGGGCGUAAAGCGUGCGCAGGCGGUUUUGUAAGACAGAGGUGAAAUCCCCGGGCUCAACCUGGGAACUGCCUUUGUGACUGCAAGGCUGGAGUGCGGCAGAGGGGGAUGGAAUUCCGCUGUAGCAGUGAAAUGCGUAGAUAUGCGGAGGAACACCGAUGGCGAAGGCAAUCCCCUGGGCCUGCACUGACGCUCAUGCACGAAAGCGUGGGGAGCAAACAGGAUUAGAUACCCUGGUAGUCCACGCCCUAAACGAUGUCAACUGGUUGUUGGGUCUUAAUUGACUCAGUAACGAAGCUAACGCGUGAGGUUGGACCGCCUGGGGAGUACGGCCGCAAGGUUGAAACUUAAAAGGAAUUGAC
rnacentral:rRNA from 1 species